GUGAACACAAAUAUCUCACUGCACAAAUUUAAUGAACAAAUAUAGAAGAAAGAGAGAAAGAGAAGAAGUUAACAUCACCGCCGUCACUUCCACUGUUACAGCUCAUUUACUACUUGAGAGGUAAUAAUCAUGACCAUGCAAGUCUUCUUCAAUCUGCAGAUGGAUCCUCCUCAUGAUGAUGAGCUAACUGAUUAGCUAGGAGGGAGCCCAGUUCUUGAUUCUCAGGAUGAUCUCCAAUAUUGGCC